CAAUCAAGAGCAAGUAAUCAAGCAUAGGCCGAGACAGAUACAGAAAGCCUAUCCUGGAUUACUUGAACUUGGUC
rnacentral:pre_miRNA from 1 species